rnacentral:piRNA from 1 species
UGCCAAGCCUUUGGUAACCUCAAGUACUA